AACGCGAAGAACCUUACCUACUCUUGACAUCCAUGGAAUCUUGUAGAGAUACGAGAGUGCCUUCGGGAACCAUGAGACAGGUGCUGCAUGGCUGUCGUCAGCUCGUGUUGUGAAAUGUUGGGUUAAGUCCCGCAACGAGCGCAACCCUUAUCCUUUGUUGCCAGCGAUUAGGUCGGGAACUCAAAGGAGACUGCCGGUGAUAAACCGGAGGAAGGUGGGGAUGACGUCAAGUCAUCAUGGCCCUUACACGUAGGGCUACACACGUGCUACAAUGGCGUAUACAGAGGGAAGCAAGAUGGCGACAUAGGGCAAAUCUCACAAAGUACGUCUAAGUUCGGAUUGGAGUCUGCAACUCGACCCCAUGAGGUCGGAAUCGCUAGUAAUCGCAAAUCAGAAUGUUGCGGUGAAUACGUUCCCGGGUCUUGUACACACGC
rnacentral:rRNA from 1 species